rnacentral:rRNA from 1 species
CUUAACACAUGCCAGUCGAGCGGCAGCAUGACUGUAGCAAUACAGUUGAUGGCGAGCGGCGGACGGGUGAGUAAUACAUAGGAAUCUGCCUUGUAGUGGUGGAUAACCCGGGGAAACUCGGGUUAAUCCCGCAUAAUCUCUACGGAACAAAGUGGGGGACCGUAAGGCCCUACGCUAAAAGCUGCGCCUACGUGGGAUUAGCUAGUUGGUGGGGUAAUGGAUCACCAAGGCGACGAUCCCUAGCUGGGUUGAGAGGAUGAUCAGCCACCGUGGAACUGAGACACGGUCCAGACUCCUACGGGAGGCAGCAGUGUGGAAUAUUGGACAAUGGGCGCAAGCCUGAUCCAGCCAUGCCGCGUGUGUGAAGAAGGCCUUCGGGUUGUAAAGCACUUUCAGUAGGGAGGAAGGGUGUUGUGUUAAUAGCACAGCAUUUUGACGUUACCUACAGAAGAAGCACCGGCUAACUCUGUGCCAGCCGCCGCUGUAACAC